GAGGGAUUAUUGGUCAAUGGACGAAAGCCUGAACCAGCCAAGCCGCGUGCAGGAUGAAGGCCUUAUGGGUGGAAAACUGUUUUUAUACGGGUAAAAAGUGACGGUACCGUGUUUCACAUUAUUGAUUCGGACAAGUCAUCGAAUAAGGACCGGCCUAAUUCCAUG
rnacentral:rRNA from 1 species